GACCAGGAAUCAGCAAACCAAGGCUCCGAUUCUUCCACAGCCCAUACGUGAUGUGCUGUCCCCAGCACCGGGCCGGGCGUGAAGCAGGGGGGCCCUGUGGCACCCACCCGCAGGGCUGUUGGCAAACAGCCGCUGGACAGGCCCCGGGAAGGCACCAGCUGCUCACGCUGUGCGGCACCGGCACCGAGAGACACCGAACGGAACGGAGGCGCAGGGGCGUGUGCGUGUGUGAAGCAGGUUUAGUCCCUCUUCCCCAAAGACGUGAAGAUGCGACGACAGCACAGAGAACGGCCUCAGGUAACUGCGCAGUAAAUGUUACUGGAACAGAAUCUCUUCCAUGUCAUUCAUGCCUCAGUACCAUCUUUGUGGCUCCCCCGUCGGGUAACGGGCCUCACAGCGCGCUUUGGCUGGCCUUGCUCUGUCCACUAUCAACAACCUGCUUUGCAAACAAGGUAUAGAAGCCAAAGAUCCUGGCAUUCCAGCACAGCAGAGAAAAACAUCAGCCAAUUUAUAUUUUUAAUACAUUAUAACUAUCUGGUAAAUUCUGAUUUUGCUAAUGAGAUUAUUACAUCCCUGACCCAUGUAACAAAUUCCAGUGACUCAGAAAGUGCUCAUCACUGAUCCUCUUUGAGAGAAACUUCAGGAGAGACAGAAAACUCUUGACUUGACUUCAGCUGAACUAUGGUUAUGCUAAGAUGAAAAGUCAGUUUGUCAGCAGGGAGGAUGAAAUGAGAAGUGGAAAUUCUCCAACGAGAAGAAUGCGAAACAGAGCAAGGGCUUAAGAAACCGUAACAAAUGUUGUCAUUAAGAGCACCAGUAAAAUGUUACCAGUCGAAUUUUCAGUUUUACCUCUGCUGACAGAUGUUCUUACUGUGUUACCUGUCCUGCUGUGCUGAUUUUGCUUCUGGUUAGACGUUCAUUAGUUAAAUACAGUGUUAUGCAGCCAAGCUAGAAAAUGUCAGUAAGAAAACUGCCAUUUGCAAAAUGUGCAAUGUCUUAAGAAUUAUUUCUUCCAUUAGGAGCAUUUCUCUGAAGCAGAAUAACCUAAACACUAGGUAAACAGAUGACUUCCACAACCUGUGUGUGACUUAAAAUGAUUCCACUGAGUAACAGCUGUACACAGUGUUAGAACUUCACUGGUAAGUACUGUGACUCUGGAGCAAGUCACCUCUCCUGCACCUUACAUUUUGUAGAUAUAAAUAGGACUCACUCUACCAGGUACAGUUACACGACAGUACUGUUACCUUUCUGAACCUACACCAGAGGUGAACAAGUGCCUGUUUUACCUAUUAGAUUCUUACAAAAUAGUAAACAAAAGUAUAUGUUUGCUUUCACGAAACGCAAAAUGUUGAAGCAAAGUUCCAGAGAAACUAGAGAGUUCCAACCUGUGUAAUUCACAUCUUGCUGCUUGGUCCUACUUCCCAACUUCCAACUUCUUACCUUCCAAAAGCAGUAAAUUGGCAAAAAUUCACUUAUCCAAGAAGCCCCCAUUGGCUGUUAAACCUCUCUACAGCACCUGUAGCAUCUAUUGACAAGUUUAAAGAGUGGAUGUCUGGAGAGUAACAAUGUAGUUUUUAUGUAACUAUUGGCCAAUCAGUAACUCUUUACUUAGACAUUUGCCUAUUAUGCAGUCAGGAGAGUUAGAUAACCAUCCAUAUGGGAGUGAGCAACACCACCACAGGACGCCUUUUACAUUAACCAUCUUUCAGAUAAACGUUCAACUCUGUUCUUUUCUCCAAUAUUCUGUAGCACCGUGAGAAGAGGUAUCUAAAGCACUGCAAGCAAAGCUACUGCAAAAAUGAGGAAUGACCAGGGCCUUUUAAUCAGACCUGUUCCGUAGGAAUCAGAACAUCAGUGAACACUGGUUUCUAAUGUCUGGCUUAGAAGCAGGUUGGAGAGAAAACACUGGUGCUGCAAAAGUGCUGCACACCACAAGGAAUUUCUGGAAGGUUUGGAAAUUUCAGAGUUGUGACUUUGGUUGUGAUUUAGGUUUUGUUUUUAAAUGGAAGUACCUUCAGAGUACAGUGCUUACUGUCUCCACUGCUCCUCCAUGCUAAAAGGUUCAUCCUGGUGCUAAAAGAUAAUUCUCAUCUUGGUGACUAGAAGGUCAUCUGCUUUUCAACCAAGUGGCACUAGUGCAAGGAUAAAUUGCAUUGAUUUAAUCCAUCACCUCUUGGCAAAGCGGUCUGUUUGGUCUGAACAGCUAAAAACAUUCCACACGACUUCAUUUUUUUAAUGUAAAAAUUUGUUCUACUGUCUCAAGUUACAUUCUGUAAAUAAUAAGCAACACUGAUGAAAUACAAAAAGCUGAAGAUUUGUAAAGCAGAAUAAACGGUGGUGUGCCCACAUCUGGGUUACAUUAAACAUGCA